rnacentral:rRNA from 1 species
GUGGGGAAUCUUCCGCAAUGGACGAAAGUCUGACGGAGCGACGCCGCGUGAGUGAAGAAGGCCUUCGGGUCGUAAAGCUCUGUCAUCAGGGACGAAUGGCCGGUGGAGUGGAAAGCCACCGGAUUGACGGUACCUGAGAAGGAAGCCACGGCUAACUACGUGCCAGCAGCCGCGGUAAUACGUAGGUGGCAAGCGUUGUCCGGAAUUAUUGGGCGUAAAGCGCGCGCAGGUGGGAUCUUAAGUCCAUUUUGAAAGUUCGGAGCUCAACUCCGUGAUGGGAUGGAAACUGGGAUUCUUGAGUACCGGAGAGGAAAGCGGAAUUCCCCGUGUAGCGGUGAAAUGCGUAGAUAUGGGGAGGAACACCAGUGGCGAAGGCGGCUUUCUGGACGGUGUCUGACACUGAGGCGCGAAAGCCAGGGGAGCGAACGGGAUUAGAUACCCGGGUAGUCC